rnacentral:rRNA from 1 species
GUGCCAGCAGCCGCGGUAAUUCCAGCUCCAAUAGCGUAUAUUAAAGUUGUUGUGGUUAAAAAGCUCGUAGUUGAACCUUGGGCCUGGCUGGCCGGUCCGCCUCACCGCGUGCACUGGUCCGGCCGGGCCUUUCCCUCUGUGGAACCCCAUACCCUUCACUGGACGUGGCGGGGAAACAGGACAUUUACUUUGAAAAAAUUAGAGUGCUCCAGGCAGGCCUAUGCUCGAAUACAUUAGCAUGGAAUAAUAAAAUAGGACGCGCGGUUCUAUUUUGUUGGUUUAUAGGACCGCCGUAAUGAUUAAUAGGGACAGUCGGGGGCAUCAGUAUUCAACUGUCAGAGGUGAAAUUCUUGGAUCAGUUGAAGACUAACUACUGCGAAAGCAUUUGCCAAGGAUGUUUUCAUUAAUCAGGAACGAAAGUUAGGGGAUCGAAGACGAUCAGAUACCGUCGUAGUCUUAACCAUAAACUAUGCCGACUAGGGAUCGGACGGUGUUAUUCAUGACCCGUUCGGCACCUUACGAGAAAUCAAAGUGCUUGGGCUCCAGGGGGGAGUAUGGUCGCAAGGCUGAAACUUAAAGAAAUUGACGGAAGGGCACCACCAGGGGUGGAGCCUGCGGCUUAAUUUGACUCAACACGGGGAAACUCACCAGGUCCAGACACAAUAGGGAUUGACAGAUUGAGAGCUCUUUCUUGAUUUUGUGGGUGGUGUGCAUGGACCGUUCUUAGUUGGUGGGGUGACUUGUCUGCUUAAUUGCGAUAACGAACGAGACCUUAACCUGCUAAAUAAGCCCGCAUUGCUUCGGCAGUGCGCUGGCUUCUUAGAGGGACUUUCGGCUCAAGCCGGAAGGAAGUUU